CUACGGGAGGCAGCAGUAGGGAAUUUUGCGCAAUGGGGGAAACCCUGACGCAGCGACGCCGCGUGAGUGAAUAAGGCCUUCGGGUUGUAAAGCUCUGUCAGAAGGGAAGAAUAAGUGGAGUCAAAUAGGCUUACACGAUGACGGUACCUUCAGAGGAAGCACCGGCUAACUCUGUGCCAGCAGCCGCGGUAAUACAGAGGGUGCAAGCGUUAUUCGGAAUUACUGGGCGUAAAGCGCACGUAGGUGGAAUAUCAUGUCAGGUGUGAAAUCCCGGAGCUCAACUCCGGAACUGCAUUUGAAACUGAUAUUCUUGAGUUUGGAAGAGGAAGGCGGAAUUCCUGGUGUAGAGGUGAAAUUCGUAGAUAUCAGGAGGAACAUCGGAGGCGAAGGCGGCUUUCUGGUCCAAAACUGACACUGAGGUGCGAAAGCGUGGGGAGCAAACAGGAUUAGAUACCCCCGUAGUC
rnacentral:rRNA from 1 species